UUACACUCUUCAGAUCUCACUGCCUGAAGACAGAGGCAGAGGGAGCAGGCUUAACUCUCCUGCUAGAGUGAUGAAUAGCAGAUGAGCUCCAUUCAGAUCCACAACAGAGAUCCAUCUCUUUUUGGUACCAACCAGCAGGGUCCCUUGCUUAAAUAAGCAUAUUGUUUUGUCACUGCUAAGUUGCCUGCAUCUUGCUUGCUGACACACCUUAAUGUAACACCAACAGAAAAGCUUGGAUCCCAUGUGAGACAAGAGAAGAUGUUAGCUAGAGGUUGAACAUUAUCAGAUGAAGACCUGGAGUUACAAGGUCUUCCUCUCAGGACAUAAGAUGUUUGCUCUGUAUCUUCUGGGAGUUCUGUUAGAAAAUGAGAACAUGUUUUUUGUUGUUGAUAUUUUCAGCCAUGGGACAAUGAGCGGAUAACAUGGGAUCUGGAAGUCUGAUAAUUUCUCUCCAAAAACUGUUGGCCAUCUUUAUCAUGACAUCUUUAUAAUGAAAGCUCAGUCACAAUAUUACAUCCAGCUGGUAUAUUUGGGCAUAAGUUAAAAUGAACUGAGGCUAUUCUUCAUUAACUGAAGCCAUCAAAUAUAACUGAAAUAUAACUUUUGCACAUGACUGCAGCAGGAAGAAGAUAAUAUAAAUGUCUCACACAAAUUAGCCUGUGUCUGUUAGAGUAAGGUCUGAUCCAAAGCAUGCUGAGAUCAGGG